AGGAAAGGGAGGGAUUCGAACCCUCAG
rnacentral:tRNA from 1 species